GUGCCAGCAGCCGCGGUAAUACGUAGGUGGCAAGCGUUAUCCGGAAUUAUUGGGCGUAAAGCGCGCGUAGGCGGUUUUUUAAGUCUGAUGUGAAAGCCCACGGCUCAACCGUGGAGGGUCAUUGGAAACUGGAAAACUUGAGUGCAGAAGAGGAAAGUGGAAUUCCAUGUGUAUCGGUGAAAUGCGCAGAGAUAUGGAGGAACACCAGUGGCGAAGGCGACUUUCUGGUCU
rnacentral:rRNA from 1 species